AUGAAAUGCCAUAUAGCCAUGGACAGCAUCUCGAGGCCCAGUUUUUCCAGGGCAGGCAAAGUCAUGUUGAUCUCUAAGUGGGUUGAGCAGGACGCGAGAGCCGGAGUUUCUGCGGGAGCCGCGGUUUUUGCGGGAGCCGAGGUUCAUGUGGGAGCCGAGGUUCAUGCGGGAGCCGAGGUUUUGCGGGAACCGAGGUUCUUGCGGGAGCCGAGGUUCCUGCGGGUGCCGAGGUUCAUGUGGGAGCCGAGGUUUUGCGGGAGCCGAGGUUCAUGCGGGAGCCGAGGUUUUGCGGGAACCGAGGUUCUUGCGGGAGCCGAGGUUCCUGCGGGUGCCGAGGUUUUGCGGGAGCCGAGGUUCCUGCGGGAGCGGGUGCUGCAGGGCCAGGCGCGGCCGGCAGGUGGCAGCACGGGGAAACAAGGCCCGCGGGCAGGGCUGGACCGCGCCGGGGAUCCGGGGGUCAGAGAAGGGUUCAAUGUGAAAACCACUGCAUGCGCUUUCAGCACUGCACUCACGUGCCUGACUUGGAAAGUAUUUAAUGGUCAGUAG
rnacentral:lncRNA from 1 species